GGACCCAAUGUGGUAUUCCUCUGUCAAUGUCUUACAAGAAAAGCAAAAAAGUUACCAUAUCGACAUAUAUAUUAGAGGGUAGGGGGUGAUCACAGUUUUGGUACUUUAAGAUGUUAUGUUAUUAUAAAUUCAUUUCGCAAGGAACAAGGAUAGAUAAUUCAUUCAUUGCAUAUUUUUCAGGAGUUCUCAACUCUCUAUGAGGAAAGAGAAAAUAAAAAGUUGCAAAAAAUAAAAGAAAUUAUUUUGCAGUGAAAUUAAUUUACCUUCAAUAAACUAUUACAUUUUUCUGGAUAUUUUUUUUUUCCUAUUCACUUUCCUAUCUUGUAAGCAAAUGUAUUAAAUUGCGGUUUAUGCUCAGCUGAGUGAUUUUGGGUUUGUUUUUCAAUUUUUACUCACUUAAUUCCUACAAACUUUCUGUAAUCUGGUUUUCAGAGAUUUUUGAUGAUUUUUAUUUUGCCCAGGUUUGUCUUCUU
rnacentral:misc_RNA from 1 species